rnacentral:lncRNA from 1 species
CUCUUUGCGAGCUCUGUGCUGCUGGCAAGCUGUUUUCCCACUGACAAGGGCAUGAGAUCAAGACUGAGUGUAAAGCAGAGGUGGCUUGCUGUUCUGAUGAUCAAGGCUGUGCUUCACGACUUGUGUGGAGCUAAUGAGGUGGUUUAAACGAGCUACUUCAACAGAAUCAUCAUAUUUAAUUAAUUUAUUUUAUUUUAAUUCAUUAAUUGUAAUGAAUUCUUUUCACUAUUGCUUGAGAGAGAAUGACAUAAAACAAUUGUUUUUU